ACACAUGCAAGUCGAACGAGAAAGCUUUUUUCGAAGAGUGAGUACAGUGGCGAACGGGUGAGUAACACGUUGGUGACCUGCCCCGAGGUGGGGAAUAACUGUGGGAAACCACGGCUAAUACCCCGGAUGUUAAAGAGUUUAGACAUCUUUAACUAAAGUUCCGGCGCCUCGGGAGGGGCCUGCGGGCUAUCAGCUUGUUGGUGGGGUAACGGCCUACCAAGGCUAAGACGGCUAGGGGGCGUGAGAGCGCGACCCCCCACAAUGGAACUGAGAAACGGUCCAUACUCCUACGGGAGGCAGCAGUGAGGAAUAUUGCACAAUGGGGGAAACCCUGAUGCAGCAACGCCGCGUGAACGAUGAAGGCCUUCGGGUUGUAAAGUUCUUUUCUGGGGGACGAUAGUGACGGUACCUCAGGAAUAAGUCCCGGCUAACUACGCGCCAGCAGCCGCGGUAAAACGUAGGGGGCGAGCGUUAUCCGGAUUUAUUGGGCGUAAAGCGCAAGUAGGCAGCGUUGUAAGUUGGACGUGAAAGCUCCCGGCUCAACUGGGAGAGGUCGUUCAAAACUACAGUGCUCGAGGUUGGAAGAGGAGAGUAGAAUUCCCGGUGUAGUGGUGGAAUGCGUAGAUAUCGGGAGGAAUACCAGUGGCGAAGGCGACUCUCUGGUCCACACCUGACGCUGAGGUGCGAAAGCGUGGGUAGCGAACGGGAUUAGAUACCCCGGUAGUCCACGCCGUAAACGAUGGAUACUAGGUGUAGGGGGUCACUGAAUCCCUCUGUGCCGUAGCAAACGCGUUAAGUAUCCCGCCUGGGGACUACGGCCGCAAGGUUAAAACUCAAAGGAAUUGACGGGGGCCCGCACAAGCAGCGGAGCGUGUGGUUUAAUUCGAUGAUACGCGAAGAACCUUACCUGGGCUGAACUACGUGGUAGUAGAGAAGCGAAAGCGGAUCGACCCUUCGGGGAGCCUCGAUAGGUGCUGCAUGGCUGUCGUCAGCUCGUGUCGUGAGAUGUUGGGUUAAGUCCCGCAACGAGCGCAACCCUUGUCGUUAGUUAUACGUGUCUAGCGAGACUGCCG
rnacentral:rRNA from 1 species